rnacentral:rRNA from 1 species
UAGGGAAUAUUGCGCAAUGGAGGAAACUCUGACGCAGCGACGCCGCGUGGGUGAUGAAGGCCUUCGGGUCGUAAAGCCCUGUCGGAAGGGAAGAAAGACGGUAUGGCUAACAUCCAUACCGAUUGACGGUACCUUCAGAGGAAGCACCGGCUAACUACGUGCCAGCAGCCGCGGUAAUACGUAGGGUGCUAGCGUUGUUCGGAAUCAUUGGGCGUAAAGCGCGUGUAGGCUGUUAGUUAAGUCGGGUGUGAAAUCCCUGGGCUCAACCGAGGAAGUGCAUCCGAAACUAAUUAGCUAGAAGGUGGUAGAGGAAGGUGGAAUUCCUAGUGUAGAGGUGAAAUUCGUAGAUAUUAGGAGGAAUACCGGUGGCGAAGGCGGCCUUCUGGACCAUUCUUGACGCUGAGACGCGAAAGCGUGGGGAGCAAACAGGAUUAGAUACCCUGGUAGUCCACGCUGUAAACGAUGGGUACUAGAUGUUGCGGGAAUUGACCCCUGCAGUGUCGACGCUAACGCAUUAAGUACCCCGCC